AUCUAGGUAGCUUAUGUUUAGAGCUUAAUAUUGAAGAUAUUACGGAAAUUUUUAUUUCUAGAUA
rnacentral:tRNA from 1 species